AGUGAACGCUGGCGGUAGGCCUAACACAUGCAAGUCGAACGGCAGCACAGUAAGAGCUUGCUCUUACGGGUGGCGAGUGGCGGACGGGUGAGGAAUACAUCGGAAUCUACUUUUUCGUGGGGGAUAGCGUAGGGAAACUUACGCUAAUACCGCAUACGACCUACGGGUGAAAGCAGGGGAUCUUCGGACCUUGCGCGAUUGAAUGAGCCGAUGUCGGAUUAGCUAGUUGGCGGGGUAAAGGCCCACCAAGGCGACGAUCCGUAGCUGGUCUGAGAGGAUGAUCAGCCACACUGGAACUGAGACACGGUCCAGACUCCUACGGGAGGCAGCAGUGGGGAAUAUUGGACAAUGGGCGCAAGCCUGAUCCAGUCAUACCGCGUGGGUGAAGAAGGCCUUCGGGUUGUAAAGCCCUUUUGUUGGGAAAGAAAAGCAGCAGGUUAAUACCCCGCUGUUCUGACGGUACCCAAAGAAUAAGCACCGGCUAACUUCGUG
rnacentral:rRNA from 1 species